rnacentral:rRNA from 1 species
CCAACCGGGAUUCCCUGAGUAAGGGCGACUGAAAGGGGAUGAGCCCAGCGCAUAACCUCACAGUCUUUUUGUGGCUGUUGAGGGGUGUUGCGUUUCGGUGGAUCCGUACCGCUCGAUUUGCUGACCGCCUAAGUCAUUGCUUGAAUGCAGCCCCAAGGAGGGUGGUAGGCCCGUGUGGCGGCGCCUGUAAAAAGGUUUUAGGCAAGUUGGGCGGAGGGGUCUUUACCGUAGAGUCGGGUUGCUUAGUACUGCAGCCCUAAGUAGGUGGUAAACUCCAUCUAAGGCUAAAUACUACCACGAGUCCGAUAUUUGACAAGUACCGUGAGGGAAAGCUGAAAAGGACUCUGAAGAGAGAGUUCAAGAGGACGUGAAACCAUUAGAAGCUGAAACGGGUGGAACCGUGAAGGUGGAAAGAGGGGAUUCAGGCUGUGGGCGUAGGCACGAGCAUUAGGUGCAGUCUGUGAGAGGACCCGGCGUACGAGUGAGUUGCCGUGGCCCCUUUUGCUGUGUGUUUGCGCCGGCGGGCUUAUUUCUCCCUCGAGUACUAGUCGUGGCGACCCGCUAACCGGACCCCGAGGUCUGCUUAGGAUUGGUAGCCGUGACUUUCGGGUGGCGGUGAUGGACCUUUGCAGUACUGACUGGGUUUUGGGAUGGCGGUCACUGUAAGGAGGCGGGCGGCGGCAGUUUCUGCUGCUGCUGCUGCUUCUCGCCAUGUGAAAGGNAUCGU